rnacentral:rRNA from 1 species
UACGUAGGGGGCAAGCGUUGUCCGGAAUCAUUGGGCGUAAAGAGCGCGUAGGCGGCCCGAUAAGUCCGCUGUGAAAGUCAAGGGCUUAACCCUUGAAUGCCGGUGGAAACUGUCGGGCUAGAGUCCGGAAGAGGCGAGUGGAAUUCCUGGUGUAGCGGUGAAAUGCGCAGAUAUCAGGAGGAACACCGAUGGCGAAGGCAGCUCGCUGGGACGGUACCGACGCUGAGGUGCGAAAGCGUGGGGAGCAAACAGG